UAAGCGACUAAGCGUACACGGUGGAUGCCCUGGCAGUCAGAGGCGAUGAAGGACGUGCUAAUCUGCGAUAAGCGUCGGUGAGGUGAUAUGAACCGUUAUAACCGGCGAUUUCCGAAUGGGGAAACCCAGUGUGUUUCGACACACUAUCAUUAACUGAAUCCAUAGGUUAAUGAGGCGAACCGGGGGAACUGAAACAUCUAAGUACCCCGAGGAAAAGAAAUCAACCGAGAUUCCCCCAGUAGCGGCGAGCGAACGGGGAGGAGCCCAGAGCCUGAAUCAGUGUGUGUGUUAGUGGAAGCGUCUGGAAAGGCGUGCGAUACAGGGUGACAGCCCCGUACACAAAAAUGCACAUAUUGUGAGCUCGAUGAGUAGGGCGGGACACGUGGUAUCCUGUCUGAAUAUGGGGGGACCAUCCUCCAAGGCUAAAUACUCCUGACUGACCGAUAGUGAACCAGUACCGUGAGGGAAAGGCGAAAAGAACCCCGGCGAGGGGAGUGAAAAAGAACCUGAAACCGUGUACGUACAAGCAGUGGGAGCCUCUUAAUGGGGUGACUGCGUACCUUUUGUAUAAUGGGUCAGCGACUUAUAUUCUGUAGCAAGGUUAACCGAAUAGGGGAGCCGAAGGGAAACCGAGUCUUAACUGGGCGUUAAGUUGCAGGGUAUAGACCCGAAACCCGGUGAUCUAGCCAUGGGCAGGUUGAAGGUUGGGUAACACUAACUGGAGGACCGAACCGACUAAUGUUGAAAAAUUAGCGGAUGACUUGUGGCUGGGGGUGAAAGGCCAAUCAAACCGGGAGAUAGCUGGUUCUCCCCGAAAGCUAUUUAGGUAGCGCCUCGUGAAUUCAUCUCCGGGGGUAGAGCACUGUUUCGGCAAGGGGGUCAUCCCGACUUACCAACCCGAUGCAAACUGCGAAUACCGGAGAAUGUUAUCACGGGAGACACACGGCGGGUGCUAACGUCCGUCGUGAAGAGGGAAACAACCCAGACCGCCAGCUAAGGUCCCAAAGUCAUGGUUAAGUGGGAAACGAUGUGGGAAGGCCCAGACAGCCAGGAUGUUGGCUUAGAAGCAGCCAUCAUUUAAAGAAAGCGUAAUAGCUCACUGGUCGAGUCGGCCUGCGCGGAAGAUGUAACGGGGCUAAACCAUGCACCGAAGCUGCGGCAGCGACACUAUGUGUUGUUGGGUAGGGGAGCGUUCUGUAAGCCUGUGAAGGUGGCCUGUGAGGGUUGCUGGAGGUAUCAGAAGUGCGAAUGCUGACAUAAGUAACGAUAAAGCGGGUGAAAAGCCCGCUCGCCGGAAGACCAAGGGUUCCUGUCCAACGUUAAUCGGGGCAGGGUGAGUCGACCCCUAAGGCGAGGCCGAAAGGCGUAGUCGAUGGGAAACAGGUUAAUAUUCCUGUACUUGGUGUUACUGCGAAGGGGGGACGGAGAAGGCUAUGUUGGCCGGGCGACGGUUGUCCCGGUUUAAGCGUGUAGGCUGGUUUUCCAGGCAAAUCCGGAAAACCAAGGCUGAGGCGUGAUGACGAGGCACUACGGUGCUGAAGCGACAAAUGCCCUGCUUCCAGGAAAAGCCUCUAAGCAUCAGGUAACAUCAAAUCGUACCCAAAACCGACACAGGUGGUCAGGUAGAGAAUACCAAGGCGCUUGAGAGAACUCGGGUGAAGGAACUAGGCAAAAUGGUGCCGUAACUUCGGGAGAAGGCACGCUGAUAUGUAGGUGAAGCGACUUGCUCGUGGAGCUGAAAUCAGUCGAAGAUACCAGCUGGCUGCAACUGUUUAUUAAAAACACAGCACUGUGCAAACACGAAAGUGGACGUAUACGGUGUGACGCCUGCCCGGUGCCGGAAGGUUAAUUGAUGGGGUUAGCGGUAACGCGAAGCUCUUGAUCGAAGCCCCGGUAAACGGCGGCCGUAACUAUAACGGUCCUAAGGUAGCGAAAUUCCUUGUCGGGUAAGUUCCGACCUGCACGAAUGGCGUAAUGAUGGCCAGGCUGUCUCCACCCGAGACUCAGUGAAAUUGAACUCGCUGUGAAGAUGCAGUGUACCCGCGGCAAGACGGAAAGACCCCGUGAACCUUUACUAUAGCUUGACACUGAACAUUGAGCCUUGAUGUGUAGGAUAGGUGGGAGGCUUUGAAGUGUGGACGCCAGUCUGCAUGGAGCCGACCUUGAAAUACCACCCUUUAAUGUUUGAUGUUCUAACGUUGGCCCGUAAUCCGGGUUGCGGACAGUGUCUGGUGGGUAGUUUGACUGGGGCGGUCUCCUCCUAAAGAGUAACGGAGGAGCACGAAGGUUGGCUAAUCCUGGUCGGACAUCAGGAGGUUAAGUGCAAAUGGCAUAAAGCCAGCUUGACUGCGAGCGUGACGGCGCGAGCAGGUGCGAAAGCAGGUCAUAGUGAUCCGGUGGUUCUGAAUGGAAGGGCCAUCGCUCAACGGAUAAAAGGUACUCCGGGGAUAACAGGCUGAUACCGCCCAAGAGUUCAUAUCGACGGCGGUGUUUGGCACCUCGAUGUCGGCUCAUCACAUCCUGGGGCUGAAGUAGGUCCCAAGGGUAUGGCUGUUCGCCAUUUAAAGUGGUACGCGAGCUGGGUUUAGAACGUCGUGAGACAGUUCGGUCCCUAAUCUGCCGUGGGCGCUGGAGAACUGAGGGGGGCUGCUCCUAGUACGAGAGGACCGGAGUGGACGCAUCACUGGUGUUCGGGUUGUCAUGCCAAUGGCACUGCCCGGUAGCUAAAUGCGGAAGAGAUAAGUGCUGAAAGCAUCUAAGCACGAAACUUGCCCCGAGAUGAGUUCUCCCUGACUCCUUGAGAGUCCUGAAGGAACGUUGAAGACGACGACGUUGAUAGGCCGGGUGUGUAAGCGCAGCGAUGCGUUGAGCUAACCGGUACUAAUGAACCGUGAGGCUUAACCU
rnacentral:rRNA from 1 species